rnacentral:rRNA from 1 species
UCCCUUGAACGUCCAAGAGAUUGGAUUUCCCUUCGGGGCAAGGAGACAGGUGGUGCAUGGUUGUCGUCAGCUCGUGUUGUGAGAUGUUGGGUUAAGUCCCGCAACGAGCGCAACCCCUGUAGUUAGUUGCCAUCAUUGAGUUGGGCACUCUAGCUAGACUGCCGGUGACAAAUCGGAGGAAGGUGGGGACGACGUCAAAUCAUCAUGCCCCUUAUGUCCUGGGCUACACACGUACUACAAUGGCUAUCACAGUGGGAAGCAAGACCGCAAGGUGGAGCAAAUCCCCAAAGAUAGUCCCAGUUCAGAUUGUGGGCUGAAACCCGCCCAUAUGAAGUCGGAAUUGCUAGUAAUGGCAGGUCAGCAUACUGCCGUGAAUACGUUCCCGGGCCUUGUACACACCGCCCGUCACACCAUGAGAGUCUGCAACACCCGAAGUCAGUAGCAUAACCGUAAGGAGUGCGCUGCCGAAGGUGGGGCCGAUGAUUGGGGUGAAGUCGUAACAAGGUAGGCGUAGCGAG